AUUGAACGCUGGCGGCAUGCCUUACACAUGCAAGUCGAACGGCAGCACGGGUGCUUGCACCUGGUGGCGAGUGGCGAACGGGUGAGUAAAGCAUCGGAACGUACCUAGAAGUGGGGGAUAACGUAGCGAAAGUUACGCUAAUACCGCAUAUUCUCUGAGGAGGAAAGCAGGGGAUCGCAAGACCUUGCGCUUUUGGAGCGGCCGAUGUCGGAUUAGCUAGUUGGUGGGGUAAAGGCCCACCAAGGCGACGAUCCGUAGCUGGUCUGAGAGGAUGAUCAGCCACACUGGGACUGAGACACGGCCCAGACUCCUACGGGAGGCAGCAGUGGGGAAUCUUGGACAAUGGGCGAAAGCCUGAUCCAGCCAUGCCGCGUGAGUGAAGAAGGCCUUCGGGUUGUAAAGCUCUUUCGCGAGGGAAGAAAACGUAUUCGCUAAUACCGGAUGCGGAUGACGGUACCUUGAUAAGAAGCACCGGCUAACUCCGUGCCAGCAGCCGCCGUAA
rnacentral:rRNA from 1 species